rnacentral:lncRNA from 1 species
GACGGCGGGAGCGUGCGUGGAGCGGGUCUCGCCGUCCUCACUGCUCCCCGAGUGGAAGCCCAGGCUCGCGGGGGAAGUUCCUGCCGUGUGAAAAGGUGGAUGCUGUGGCUGUAUUCUGAGGCGGAGAAGCUCGGAAGUUUCAGCCCUCCAGGGUCGCUUCGCUUCGCGUCACUUAGCAGCCGCCCACUGAGGAUGCCACCCCCGUCCUGCGUGGGCCCCGACCGGGGUGACACGUCAAGCAGUUGUGCCUCCCGAGGUGGAGGAACGCCUUGUGAAACGCACUCAAACUUCCGAAAGCGUCGCGCCCAAAUUCCCAGAGAGCAACUUGGAAAUCUGUGUGUUGAUUGGAGCCGCUGUUGUGGGGGGGGGGAAGAACGUGGUCUCCAGGAGGAAUUCCGUUAAUAUCUGUCGCCAAGGGGGAACCAGGCUUGAGAUGGGGUUGGUGAGAGGAAUGAAGAACCGGUGUUUUUAUAAAUAACACAACUUGGCUGUGACUGCUCUGCUCUGCUCUGCUAAUUGGGGAAGUGGGGAGAAAAUUUUGAAA